rnacentral:rRNA from 1 species
UACGUAGGGUGCGAGCGUUAUUCGGAAUUACUGGGCGUAAAGCGUGCGCAGGCGGCGCGUUAAGACAGGUGUGAAAGCCCCGAGCUUAACUUGGGAAUUGCGCUUGUGACUGGCGUGCUGGAGUGUGGCAGAGGGAGGUGGAAUUCCACGUGUAGCAGUGAAAUGCGUAGAGAUGUGGAGGAACACCGAUGGCGAAGGCAGCCUCCUGGGCCAGAACUGACGCUCAUGCACGAAAGCGUGGGGAUCAAACAGG